AUGCAAGUCGAGCGGUAGAGAGAAGCUUGCUUCUCUUGAGAGCGGCGGACGGGUGAGUAAUGCCUAGGAAUCUGCCUGGUAGUGGGGGAUAACGUUCGGAAACGGACGCUAAUACCGCAUACGUCCUACGGGAGAAAGCAGGGGACCUUCGGGCCUUGCGCUAUCAGAUGAGCCUAGGUCGGAUUAGCUAGUUGGUGGGGUAAUGGCUCACCAAGGCGACGAUCCGUAACUGGUCUGAGAGGAUGAUCAGUCACACUGGAACUGAGACACGGUCCAGACUCCUACGGGAGGCAGCAGUGGGGAAUAUUGGANCAUGGGCGANAGCCUGAUCCAGCCAUGCCGCGUGUGUGAAGAAGGUCUUCGGAUUGUANAGCACUUUUAGUUGGGAGGAAGGGUUGUANNAUUAUACUCUNGCAUUUUGACGUNACCGACAGAAUAGGCACGGGCUAA
rnacentral:rRNA from 1 species